UGUAGAUUUCAGCAACUGGAUGUGAGGUGCUGACAUAACAGAAACCUAAAAGGUAGGAGAAGCUUUAUAAGUGAGCAGUGGGCAGAAAGUGGAAGGACUCUAAGGAGAGUAUUAGGGGAAACGUAAAAGCUUUGAAGGUGGGUUGUUAGCAGAAUCCUGGUGGCAUUUGAGGAGACUGCCAGUGAAGGCUUGAAGGUGCUUUUCUCGGUUCUGGGAAUACAGCAGCAAAUAAAACAGGCAAGAAGAUGCCUGCCAUCCUGGAAGGAUUACCCUUAAGUGUGAAAAGGCCAAUACAAUGAACGAGUAAACUGUGUAGCAUAUCAGAAGGUGAGAACUCCAGAGAAACAGCAAGGCUGGGAUGGAUUGAGCCAAGAGGAAUGUAGGGGAAGAGAAGUCGAAUCUAAUGGAGGCCAUGGAAAGUCACAGGGCAUCAGCGCUGCUUCUCCAGUCAAACCACUUCACUCAACAGGACACUGAAAUAGACGGAAAGCAGGGUUUCUUAGAGAUCUGAUGCUCCAGCCUUGGUCCUCUGCAUUAUUCCUCAUUUCUAGUUUCUUUGCACAUGUGGGAAAAAAUAAGAAGCUGCUGUGUUCAUGAGAUCUCAGAAGUCUCAGUACAAGGAAGUGAUUUGGAAUAAAAUACACUGAUGUACUUUUAAAAAAGUUAAA